GGAGGCCCCUCCCUGAGCGUGCUCCCCUGGGGCCGUGGGAAACUGCGCUCGUUCGUGCGAAAUGGAAGCCGUUUUGCUUCACUUCCCACUGUAUUACCAAUUAAGGCUUUAAAUGAAGUAAGUUCUGGACGGAGCCGUUUCCUUGACUGCUAGGAAAUCCAGACUGACUUUGUAACCUACCUUUGACCACAACGGGAACUCCUCUUCUCCGCAUUUAAAAGCAGAGACCUCUGUGUAUCUUUGUCACUUCAAGAUUUUUUGCACCAACAGGUUAAGGUAAGGGUUUUUAACUUGGGGUCCACAAGGGUCAAUGCUUAGAAUUCAUAGUGUAUCGUUGUACAACUAUAAACAUAAUAAAAUUCAGAGUUAAAAAAAGAAUUCACAGAGUACACGAACUUGGAUUUAAAAAAGUCACAACUUCGUUUUCAUCAAACUCUGAAAUGUAGCGCUUUAUUUACAAAUGUAGGCAACAAACUACCUGGUCAACAAAUCAGAUGGUUUUAUAUCACACUGCAGUUGAUACAGGUGUCUUAAAAUAUCAUAUAUACAUACACUAGUCACUAAUUUGAAAUUACAGUAGCUUUUAGAUCUACAACACAGAACUGUGUUAAUCCUCUAUGUUGCUACAGCAUACAUUUCUUUUAGAAAAAAAAUUGUCUUUUUUUUUUUUGGCCUUUUUUGGGCCAAACCCAUGGCAUAUGGAACUUCCCAGGCUGGGGGUUGAAUUAGAGUUGCAGUUGCCAGCCUGCAACACGAGAUCUGAGCUGCGUCUACAACCUGCACGGCAGCUUACAGCAAUGCUGAAUCCUUAACCCACUGAGAGAGGCCAGGUAUUGAACCCUUGUCCUCAUAGAUGCUGGUCGGGUUUGUUACCAGUGAGCCAUAAUGGGACUCCCUUAGAAAAUAUUUAUUUUGAGCGGAGUUCCCAGGUAGCCUAGCAGUUAAGUAUCUGGCAUCAUCAUUACUGUGGCACAGAUUCCUUCCCUGGCCUGGGAACUUCCAUAUGCCACCGACACAGUCCCCCCCCCCAAAAAAAGUUUAGAAAGUAAUUUGAUAGCUAUAUCACAGUGUGAUUGGUUUUUUUUUGUAAUCCUAUGUACUUUGUUUUAUGCAGUUAAAUUAAUGCAUUCUGAAAAUAAGUCCAUAAACUUCCAUCAGACUGCCAAAGGCACAAAAAUGGUUAUGCAUCCCUGGAUUAGGCUAUAGUGACAGAUGGUAGAACAAACUAGGUAGGAGGCUUUGGAAAUAAUCUGGACAAGAAGUGAUGGUGGCACAAAGUAAAGUAGUCCCCAGGAUGUUGAAUAAGAAACAAAAUCGAGAUGAUCAUGACAAAAUUAACAGGACUUGGUCCCAGGUUUCUAUCUUGGGGUACUGAUUGCUAGUACCUUAGAUCUAGAAAGGGGAUACCAAAACCAUAGGAAGCUUGAGCCCAAUUUAAUAAUUACGGUUUGGGGGUUUUUUUUGCCAUGCCCGACGCAUGCGGAAGUUCCUGGGUCAGGGAUCGAACCAAGCCACAGCAGUGAUAACACCAAAUCCUUAACCACUAAGCCACAAUUAGGAACUCCUAAUUACCUAAUCACUCCUAAUUACCAUUUUUAACAGCAAAAGUUUACUUUAAUCCCUUUUCACUUUUAUUUUUAAGUUUACUUACUUCCAGAGUUCCCAAAGUCAUGGCUCAGUAGUUAACGAAUCCCACUAGGAACCAUGAGGUCGCCGGUUCGAUCCCUGGCCUUGCUCAGUGGGUUAAAGAUCUGGCGUUACUGUGAGCUGUGGUGUAGGUCACAGACUCGGCUUGGAUCUGGCGUUACUGUGAGCUGUGGUGUAGACCGGCAGCUACAGCUCCGAUUCCACCCCUAGCCUGGGAACCUCCAUAUGCCACGGGAGCAGCCCUAGAAAAGGCAAAAAAAUAAAAAUAAAAAAAUAAAUAAGUUUACUUAUUUCUUUGGCCACACCCAUGGCAUACAGAAGUUCCUGGGUCAGGGAUGAAUCCAAGCCACGGUUGAGACCCACUCUGCAGCUGCGGCAAUAUGGGAUCUUUUUUUUAUUUUUUUGCUUUUUUGGGCCACACAUGUGGCAUAUGGAAGUUCUUAGGCUAAGGGUCAAAUGAGAGCUGCAGAUGCCAGCCUACACCACAGCCGUAGCAAUGCCAGAUCCGAGCUGCACCUGUAAUCUAUGCCCCAGCUUGCAGCAACCCACUGAGUAAGGCCAGGGAUCAAACUGGAAUCCUCAUGGAUACUAGUGGGGUUCUUCAUCUGCUGAGCCACAAUGGGAACUCCCUUAUCUCACUUACUUUUUAACUCUGGAGAGCCCUGAGUUCUCUCUUCUAUAUACACUCCAUCCUUGACCUCAUCCAGUAUCAUAGCUUUAAAUA